rnacentral:lncRNA from 1 species
CCCUCGCUAGCCAUUUAACUUAUAUAAGGACAUAACUCUAAGAACUGUAAAAGUGAAGCUGCCAAAAAUUGAACUUAAGGAUGUUCGCUGCUCAGUUUCAAAAUUAAUAACUUUUCAUAAAACUAGUAGGUAUGAUAGGCAUAAAAUUGAGGAUUCAAAAAAGCAAAAAAAUAUAGGGGUCAAUGUGCUUGUUUUCGAGUUAUAAGCCAUUACAUUUGGCGGGAAAUGUUCUCGUCUUGAUUUUUCAUAGCUGUAUCAUUGACCAGUUAGAAGUUCUCAAAU